UUAUUUUUCCCACCGGACAAUGCAAACGUCGACGUUUUCCUAUGUUCACUGUUUCUCCCCAUCUCUCAUCAACGCUAGCUUUCUUUCGCGUGUUCCUCUCCCUUUCUACCUACUCCACCGUACCAUUCAUCACCUUCUGAUUUCGUGAUUUCUCUUCAACAACCUCCCUUUUCUGCACAUCAAUUUGAAACCCUAGCUUUGAUUUCGUGUUAUCGUUCCUCUUUCCACCCACUUCUCACCCAUCCAUCAAUAGAGUCUUUUCCCACUGAUCUGAUGAGGUUUUACUUUCGGCCGCCGGUUGAUGUUUGGCUGACGAUUUCGCUGCCACCGUGUAUGGGCGAACUAUUCACGUAUUGACAUCUCAAAUGCUCAACUGUUCAUUCGACAUCAGUUCCCCAACUAUUAGGGUUGAAUGCAUCAGCUAGGUUGAUUCUUUUAUCAAAUGAUGAGCUUGAAACCAUGGUAGAGAAGCAUGGAAGAUCAGAGAAGGGUUAUUAGGAAGUGGGAGAUGUCACCUACUACUAAACCUUCUAAACCAGAUGUUUUGCAACUUGUCUUGAUUGAUGCUGAGGUAUGCUGCUGUGACUUCAGUUCAUGAAAUGGAAAAUUGUUUCAAUCUAAAGAGGACCUUUCCGGCGCAGGAGCAACAAAAAGGCCUACUUCCUGUGUUUUGCUGCUGACCAAGCCUGAAAAUAGUGAAAUGGAACAAGGGGAACAAGAGAAACUAAAGUCAGAUUAUGAUCAAGUUGUGUCAGAUGUUACUGAGAUUACAACUUCACUUUUUUGAAACAAUCACAAAUGUAUCUGUACUGUUGGCUCCAGUUUGUAUUUUUGAGUCUUUGCUGUUUUCCUUUCUGUUUUUGUUUUCUCUUGUGCUAGACUUUAAUCUCACUUGGGAAAGAUUGUUCCCAAGAUUCUCUUUUUAUGAAUUCAUGAUCUUUUCUUCUAAAAAGAAACAUUGUAUGUGUUUGGUGCAUUGCUUUUUAGUUAAAAAAAUUCUUAUUCCUUUAGGAUAAUUUAAUAUACCUAUGUUUCUUUUCUCUAUACAUCAGAUUUUUACACUGUUCUGGUUUUCAUUGAGUGCUUCAGAUUAUGAAAAUUACUAUGAUCUUAUUUUUUUACACUAAUAAAUUAAUUGCCUUUUUUUAGUUUCGGUUCAUAAGGAUUGAUUUUAGCAUGCCUACUAAAAGAAAACAUUGGUAAUUUCAUGAAUUCUUGCUUUCUAUAGACAUGAUUAUGCAGUACAAGCAUCUUUUGAUAUUUUGGAAUGGUAACUGAGCCUGUAUUGAAAUUGCAGAGGCAUUUGUUCAAACACUGUUGCAGGCCCAUUCUUCACUGCUAAUGUACCAUCAAGUGUUAAAGUUCUACUAUCACCAUUAACAGGUGAUUUUCUCAUCAAUCUACAUGUUAUUCCACGUUUUGAAGAGCUUAUUUAAACUUAUCUUAUGACAUAAACACUAAUGCAAGUGUUUGAGUGAACUUAUGAAAAUUAUGAUCUACCAAUAAAUUGUUUCGAACUUAUUUUCAUAAGCUGCUUAGAUUAGCUUAUGAAUUGACACUUACAUAUGCGUUUUUUGCUUUCUUGCUUUCUCAGUAGACAUUAAGCUCAAUUUUAGUUGUUACUGGCUUUUCUUUGUGCAUUUUUUUCUGCUGCAAUGGAUUACUGGCUUGGCAUGGUAGGAGUAGAUGGGGUUUGAAGCAAUUCUGGCUGGGUUGUGUGUGUUUGGCCAACCUGUAUGCGUUUUUUCAAGUUUUAAUUGUACCACCGUGUUUCCCCUGUUUUUGUUGUUCUGUUUCUGAUUUGUUACUCUCCCCCUGGCUUUCUUUUCUUUCCUUUGAUUCUGUAGCUGUACUUUACUUGCACUUCUUGUGCAUUAUUUAAUAUAAAUUUGGCAAGACAGAGUUUGGAAUUGUGAUUUUAUCUAUGCUGUUGUGUAUUUAACAGAAUGUUUUGCCUCUAUCUGUGUCAUUGGUCUCAUUGUUAUCAGUUCUAAGUAAAUUAGAAGUAGAUACCAAAUGUCUACAAUUUUGAUAAAAUAAUUAUACACUAAUUCAAACACUAACCUAUUGCUCAAAGAGUGAAAAAACGAUAUACCAUUAACUUGAGGAUAUUCAAGAACAGUUUAGACACUUGCAUUUUAACAAGUUAAGACUACCAAAUCAAAUACCCAUAGAAACAGAUGCAUUUUUUAACUAGGGUCCAUAAUCCUUUAUUAACCCAUGGUUAAAAAGCUACAUUUUCUGCUUUUGUCUUACUCCUAUUAUAUAUUGUCAAACAAAAUAAAAUUGUUGCAUAAAUGGGAUUUAUUGCUAUCUGGGAUAAUUUCUUAACAUAUUUAGUGGAAAUGGUGCUUCGUUUUUCACUGUUUGUGUAAAUUAGAAUUGUUCACUUUUAUUUUUAAAGAUAACUGAUGUGUUAUUCAGUAUUUACUUUGUUUUUAAAGAUAAGUGGUUCUUUAGUCAAUUUUGGUGGAGUUAUACUUGGGAAUUUCAAUGACUAUGAUAGACCCUGUGGUACUGAGGUUUGUGUAAGGAAUGGUACAAAAAAUCGUGGUGCAUAAUAGACUGCUUACAUGGUUGUGGGAAUUAGGUGAGAAGGAAAAUUCGGUUAGGUUGAGUGGGGACAAUUGUGAAGAGAAUGGAGGGCAGAAGGUAGGCGAACAUUGGGUGAGGAAUUGGGCCUUAAGGAGUGUGGAAGCAUACCCUCAAAAUUAUGUGGAGUUUCCAUAAUGUGUUUUCUGUUUGUUAGUAUAAGAUAUUUUCCAGUGGUUCUGAUAUCUGCUACCAUUAACUGUUAGUAUAAUCUUCUCAUUAUAAUUGCUAUCUAAGCGAUUCUUUAAAGAAUGACUUAAUAUACACUUAUCAUUUUGAUAACCGGUAAUGGGUUGUUUCUUUUAUGUUCCAUCAAUUAUGGUGUAACAAGAGUAAGGCAAUCCUCACUUUAGUCGUGGUAAUAUUUUGAUUUGGAUUAAUUUCCUAUUAUGGAACAAGGAACUGAAAGUACAUGUUAAUUGGGUUGAGAAGCGAAGUCAUCUAAGUGGGGUUAAUGAGUAUGUUAUUUUGCACUAGAGAAGCCAAAGUGUUCUCAUGGCCUUCUCCAGUUUUUAAUUUGUUUCUGAAAGCUUUCAGUUUCUCCCAUUUGCUCAAGUCCAUUUUUUUUGUUGCUUCCAACAUUGGUCCACUCCAUUUGUCUCUUUUAGACCUGUGAAAGACUUUCUCUGCUAAGUGGGUUGGUCACAUAAAGGUAAGUUCAUAUCAACCUGUAAUUAAUUUACUGCUAUGACCCUAUUUUGGACAUAUUCACUUACUCUACUUAUGGCUUUCGUUUCUGUUUCCAUUCCACUGCCCAAACUCUUUAUUUUCCAUGUGUUAAAAUCGGAACCAUGUAUUAGACUAUUCCUCUUCUUAUUAACGAUGUGUUUAUUUUUUCUGUAGAUGAGCCCUAUGUUUCAUCAGGUGCUGAUUCUUUAUAUUCACAUGGGAUUCUAGAUGGUGAAAUCUGCACAAUAAGAGAUUUUUAAACCGAUGAAUCAGUCAAAAUCUAUAUUAACCUUUUCUGCUCAUCUUCAAUGUUUAAAGUUUCAUUCUUAAUGGUUUUUUUUUUUUAUUUUCUCUAGCAUUCACCAUUGCAGAAGAUGCAUUUGCCUUGCUCCUUUAUGCUAUGGAGUAUCUAUUUCGACUUUCAUUAUCUAUUUAUGGUUUCCAAUUUAAAUGGGGUUGGCCAAAAGUAUGUUUUACGGUUUUCAUUAUUUGUUUAAGAUUGAGAAUACAUAUGGGCAACAAAGUAAAAUACUGGAUGCCAAGAAGGUUGUUGUUGGGAAGAAGUCACCAAGUGGGUUCGGACAGUUUGCUAAUUCUGCAUGCUUUUAAAAAGAUCAUGGAAGUCUAUUUUGGUAACAAAGAUGAUGGGCUGGUCAAGUAUGAUGGUGUCUUGCAUGGCUUAGAGGUUUAAAAAUUCCUCACGGGAUUUUCUGUAGAUUUCUUUAUUACCUUUUCUUUUUACUCAAAUAUAAAUGAGAAUUGUACAUUUGUACAUAUCUGGUCAUCAAUGAGAUUAUUUUAUCAAUUCUUUGAAA